rnacentral:rRNA from 1 species
AUGUUCCAGGAGUUGAAGUUAAUAUUUCAAGCAAAUGCCCGGAUUGAGAGAUAUGAAGUCUCCAAUAAGUUCUACAGCUGCAAGAUGGAGGAUAACAGUUCUGUCAGUGAGCAUAUACUCAAAAUGUCCGGGUAUAAUAAUCACUUGAUUCAAUUGGGAGUUAAUCUUCCAGAUGAUUGCGUCAUUGACAGAAUUCUCCAAUCACUGCCACCAAGCUACAAGAGCUUCGUGAUGAACUAUAAUAUGCAAGGGAUGAAUAAGACUAUUCCCGAGCUCUUCGCAAUGCUGAAAGCUGCGGAGGUAUAA